rnacentral:piRNA from 1 species
GCUUGAGCUGAAACCCACUGA